rnacentral:rRNA from 1 species
AGAGUUUGAUCCUGGCUCAGGAUGAACGCUAGCUACAGGCUUAACACAUGCAAGUCGAGGGGCAGCAUGACCUAGCAAUAGGUUGAUGGCGACCGGCGCACGGGUGAGUAACACGUAUCCAACCUGCCGAUUAUUCCGGGAUAGCCUUUCGAAAGAAAGAUUAAUACUGGAUAGUAUAACGAGAAGGCAUCUUCUUGUUAUUAAAGAAUUUCGAUAAUCGAUGGGGAUGCGUUCCAUUAGUUUGUUGGCGGGGUAACGGCCCACCAAGACAUCGAUGGAUAGGGGUUCUGAGAGGAAGGUCCCCCACAUUGGAACUGAGACACGGUCCAAACUCCUACGGGAGGCAGCAGUGAGGAAUAUUGGUCAAUGGACGAGAGUCUGAACCAGCCAAGUAGCGUGAAGGAUGACUGCCCUAUGGGUUGUAAACUUCUUUUAUAUGGGAAUAAAGUGCAGUAUGUAUACUGUUUUGUAUGUACCAUACGAAUAAGGAUCGGCUAACUCCGUGCCAGCAGCCGCGGUAAUACGGAGGAUCCGAGCGUUAUCCGGAUUUAUUGGGUUUAAAGGGAGCGUAGGCGGAUUAUUAAGUCAGUUGUGAAAGUUUGCGGCUCAACCGUAAAAUUGCAGUUGAUACUGGUAGUCUUGAGUGCAGCAGAGGUAGGCGGAAUUCGUGGUGUAGCGGUGAAAUGCUUAGAUAUCACGAAGAACUCCGAUUGCGAAGGCAGCUUACUGGACUGUAACUGACGCUGAUGCUCGAAAGUGUGGGUAUCAAACAGGAUUAGAUACCCUGGUAGUCCACACAGUAAACGAUGAAUACUCGCUGUUUGCGAUAUACAGCAAGCGGCCAAGCGAAAGCAUUAAGUAUUCCACCUGGGGAGUACGCCGGCAACGGUGAAACUCAAAGGAAUUGACGGGGGCCCGCACAAGCGGAGGAACAUGUGGUUUAAUUCGAUGAUACGCGAGGA